UGGGAUUUCCCCUGAACCUAAAUUUGUGAUCGAUUAUCUUCAGACUCUAAAAUCAUCCGAGGAGUCAUUAAGAGAACAGCUAGAGAAGGCAAAGAAAAAGGAAGCUGAUU